rnacentral:rRNA from 1 species
AUGAUGUGUAGCCGGGCUGAGAGGUUGAACGGCCACAUUGGGACUGAGACACGGCCCAAACUCCUACGGGAGGCAGCAGUAGGGAAUUUUCGGCAAUGGAGGAAACUCUGACCGAGCAACGCCGCGUGAACGAUGAAGUAUUUCGGUACGUAAAGUUCUUUUAUAGGGAAGAAUAAAUGAUGGAAAAAUCAUUCUGACGGUACCUAAUGAAUAAGCCCCGGCUAACUAUGUGCCAGCAGCGCGGUAAUACAUAGGGGGCAAGCGUUAUCCGGAAUUAUUGGGCGUAAAGGGUGCGUAGGCGGUUAAAUAAGUUUAUGGUCUAAGUGCAAUGCUCAACAUUGUGAUGCUAUAAAAACUGUUUAGCUAGAGUAAGAUAGAGGCAAGUGGAAUUCCAUGUGUAGUGGUA